UUAGGGUAUGGACGUCCAAAGCAUCCUGGAUAGCGCUGCCCCAUAACAUGUAAGGGGAAGAAGAAGCGUUUUAAUAUGGCGCUCGUGAGGUCAUUGCGGAUCAGAUUCAGAACGCAGAAAGUACGGGGAGUACGCUGCUGUUCAACAAGUUGCAAAAUAGAUUAAGUAAAGGAUCAUUGGAACGCAGACCAGAUGGGGGUACAUUCAACAAAUAUCAUCUAACAAAAAGGACAAGUAUCUUUGCUGCACUCCACCAAUCAGGCCUUUAUGGUAGAGUGGCCAGUCGGAAGCCACUCCUCAGUAAAAGGUACAUGACAGCCCGGUUGGAGUUUGCUAAAAGACACCUAAAGGACUCCAACUAUGAGAAACAAGAUUAUCUGGUCUGAUGAAACCAAUAUUGAACUCUUUGGCCUGAAUGCCAAGCUUCACGUCUAGAGGAAACCUGGCACCAUCCCCACGGUAAAGAAUGGUGGCAGCAUCAUGCUGUGGGGAUGUUCUUCAGCGGCAGGGACUGGGAGACUAGUCAGGAUCGAGGGAAAGAUGAACGGAACAAAGUACAGAGAGGUCCUUCGCACCUUCCAACAGGAAAACAACCCUACGCACACAGCCAAGACAACGCAGGAGUGGCUUCGGGACAAGUCUCUGAAUGUCCUUGUGUCCCUGCCAGAGCCCAGACUUGAAUCCAAUCGAACAUCCAACGCUCCCCAUCCAACCUGACAGAGCUUGUGAGGAUCUGCAGAGAAGAAUGGGACAAACUCCCCAAAUACAGGUGCCAAGCUUGUAGCGUCAUACCCAAGAACACGAGGCUCUAAUCAAUAGCUGCCAAAGGUGCUUCAACAAAGUACUGAGUAAAGGGUCUGAAUACAUAUGUAAAUAUGAUUUCAUAUUUUUUAUACAUUUGCAAAAAUGUCUAAAAGCAUGUUUUUGCUGUCAUUAUGGGGUAUUAGGCUGUAACGUAACAAAAUGUGGAAUAAGUCAAGGGGCCUGAAAACGUUCCGAAUGCACUGUAGGUAGAUGUGCCUUUCCAAAUAAUGUCAAAUCAAUUGAAUAUACCACAGGUGGACUCCAAUCAAGUUGUAGAAACAUCAAGGAUGAUCAAUGAAAACAGGAUGCACAUGAGCUCAAUUGAGUCUCAUCGCAAAGGGUCUGAAUACUUAAGUAAAUCAGAUGUUAAAAAAAAAAAUUAAGUGCAAAAAUAACUUAACUUUGUCAUUAUGAGGUAUUGUGUGUAGAUUGAGGGAAAACAUUAAUUUAAUCAAUUUUAGAAUAAGGCUGUAACGUAACAAAAUGUGGAAAAGGUCAAGGGGUAUGAAUACUUUCCGAACGCACUGUACAUUCAUGCCAGCGCCUUCAAGCUGAAGGGUUUCUUCUAUAAAAGAUACCUAUCCUCUAAAAAUCCUUGCCUUGCUUUCUUCACGUUAUGUACUUCAGGAUGGGCAUACAUCUGACAAACCACUGAGUGUCCCCUGCAUGAUAUAUUUAAAAUGUCUUGAAUCUAUAGCUGCAAGGCUGUGCAUAUCUUAUGUUCCACUAAUAUAGACACAGAACUGUUGGCAUUUUCUUUAUUCUGAAAAAAGAGUAAACAUAAGCAUGUAUAAAUACAACCAUCUUGAGUUUCCAGUUUAAAUGAUUACCGGUAAACACACAUGACAACCGAUGGAGUAGGCUACACGAACGUCACAUUAUAAAUCCCAGAGUACACAUACUGUAUCACUCACUGAUAGUAUGACUUUAUAGCAAGACACUUUCAUUAAGUAUACUGUCCUUUUCUUGCACAAACAAAAUAAACAUUUUAAGAGCAUUUAUUAAUACACAUGGCACAUAGUUUUUAAAAUACUGUCCGACUAUAAGCACUAGCACUUUGGUAGUUUUGAUCUGUGACAACUACACUGCUUCUUCAUAUAGGGAUUUGCAAUGCUUUGACAAUUGAAUAGAGGACUAAUGGUAUGCAUGCCCUGUUCUAUUUGCACAAGUCAAACUAUUACCGCAAUGCAAUAGGGCAGGCAACCCUGUUCCUGAGUACUGCAGGAUUUUUGUUCCAACUAAGGCACCACACCUGACCUAAUUGAUCACUUCAGUGAUUGCAUAAAUUCAACACACCUUGUCUUCCAGGUCAGCUAAAGCAAAAACAUGAAGUGCCUGCAGCACUCCAGGAACAGGGUUGCCUACCCCUGCAAUAGGGCCUUUACCUAUACAUAAUAUGAAUGGUAAUUUCUAGUGUAUGAUAUGUUCAUGAACUGUGUUUAAUACUGUCGUUGGCAUUUGGAGAACUGGACAAGUUGAAUCACAUCCACAUGUACAGAUAUGCAAGUAAUUUUGUCUUUGACAGAAAGCUCUGGUUAAGCAAAGACCCAUUAGCUUUGUUUGACAUAAAAGGAUCAGUUAGGCGCUGACCUCCAUGCAGAGUAGGAACAUUUCAAACCAUUUCCAGAAGCCUCAGGUAUAAAGGUGUUACGGCAGACACUUUCAUGCACAUUUUAAGAGAAACAAAAUUAUCUCUGCCAUUUUUUAAUUCCCACUUAAUUCUCUCCACCAGGACUUAAUCCUGACCUGAAGAAAGCAUUGUACUUAAAAAAGGUAUUAAACAAAUUAUGAAGCCAAUCACAUUUUUACCUGUAAAUCAGUUUCUGUAAAAACAAUUAAGUGGGUGAUAAGGCAAGCUUACCCCACACACGGCAUCAUUGACCAGCACUGAAUGCCUGCCCUACAUGAUCAUCAUGAUCCAUUCCACCAUUCCAAUCAAAUGGAAUGUAAUUUGUGAUCCGCUGUGCUGUGCAACGCAUUCUGAUUCCAUCAAUCAGUUUCCAUACUAGUUCAGUCAGUCAUAAUAUGGCAGUCUGGUCUGGGGACUCCUGACAUUGCACAUCUUCCACAGAAAGAUUCCCAUAGUGAUGUCAGAAACAACUUCCUCUAUCCAGUUUCCUGUAGUUAUUUAGGUGGAGGCUUCACAUGACGGACCACUUUCUUCUCGUACACGGUCCUCAUGGUUUUCUCUACCUGUUUGAGAAACACCUGGGGAAUCCGACCACACAGGGUGUUGACAGUGUCUAGAAACUUGGUCUGGAGGGGAUAGAACAGCGACUGGAACAAGUUGUCCUCAAAGGGGUACUGUAAAACAGAAUCAUUGCAGGCCUCAGGGUUAGACACCAGUAGUGGUAACUUAUCAAACCUCUUAUAAAUCAACCGUGCCAUUGGCUUACUGUAGGUACAGUAGAAGGGGAUGGAUAUUAAUCAAAUUGUGUGGUUAAUAAAAGGCUUAUCUAUGGACAGCAGAGGGGGCUGAUGUUGCGGUGAGACAAGGAUUUCCUUACGUUAACAUUUCCACAGCAUUUCCAAGGAGAGAAAAGGACAGAAGGAUUUAAUACCAAGAUUGAUCAUUUUCUGAGAUCCUCCCCCUUCAUAUUUUGUUGCCUUUGUCCCAAAGGAUGUAACCGGCAAUCUAGUAAAUAAACGUGCAAUUUUUAGUGAAACAA